rnacentral:rRNA from 1 species
AUUGAACGCUGGCGGCAGGCCUAACACAUGCAAGUCGAACGAGUGGCGGACGGGUGAGUAAUGUCUGGGAAACUGCCUGAUGGAGGGGGAUAACUCCUGGAAACGGUAGCUAAUACCGCAUACCAUCAGAUCUGCCCAUAUGGGAUUAGCUAGUUGGUGGGGUAACGGCUCACAAGGGCGACGAUCCCUAGCUGGUCUGAGAGGAUGACCGCCAACACUGGAACUGGGACACGGUCCAGACUCGUACGGUAGGCAGCAGUGGGGAAGAUUGCACAAUGGGCGCAAGCCUGAUGAAGCCAUGCCGCGUGUAUGAGGAGGGCCUUCGGGUUGUAAAGUACUUUCAGCGGGGAGGCGUUACCCGCAGAAGAAGCACCGGCUAACUCCGUGCCAACAGCCGCGGUAAUUC